UCAGAAUGGAACUGUCUGCACUCAGCUCCUCAUGUCAAGAGAUGAGUGAUAUUAAGGAAGUAUAACUAAGCUGAAUGCCCAGCAGCAAGUGGACCCUGGCCUCAGAAUUCAGCCCAGGCAUAUGAGGAAACAUCAGCAGAACUGCAAGUCCCAGGAUACCUUUCACUAAUGAGCACAGUACACAAAGUCUGUAGAAUUCACACAUGCUCAGUGUGGUGGCUAGAGCCUAUUUUCCAUAGGCUCCUAACUAGAUUAAAUAAGGUGGAGCACAUGGCCCCACCCCAAAACAGCCUCUAGGAUUGUGCCCCAGGGUGGAUCCGGAAUUGACCUUUGUACCUCACAGCAGGUCAGGGUUUGUGGUGACUUGCUGAGUGGGUCUGGAACUGGCUGCCAUUCCAACGCGUCUCAGAGCGGCAGGCAAAGGUUUGAAUCCAGGAUCCUUGUGGCCCUGCUCCCCGAUUCCUGACCCCACUCCUGUUCCUUGCUCUCUUCCCCAGGGGGCCUUCCCACAGGCCACCAGGUCUUUCUUUCUAUUUGGCUAUGUCAGUUCUUAGUCGUGGUGCACGGGCUUUGUUGCCCUGCCAUAUGCAGAAUCUUACGUCCCCAGCUAAGGAUCGAACCCACGUCCCCUGCAUUGGAAGCUGGGUUCUUAACUACUGGCCUGCCAGUAGUCCACUUUUGAUAGUCCCUUACUUAGAGACUCAACUCUUCCCUGUUUCCCCGGCAGACAAGAAGUACUGGGAAGGAUGAACCCCAGUGCAUUAUCACCUGAGGGUACAGGUUAGGGAUCAGGGCUGAGGUGGGAAGAUGGUGUCAGUCACCAAAUACGAGGCCUUGAUGACUGCCCUGCCUUCUGUAGGUCCUGCUAGAUGGUCACCAUGGCCUCUCAGCUUCUCGGGUUGGAAGAAGAGUCUGGCCCAAACCCUGAGGAGUCUGAACUGGCUGUGAACCCCUUUGACGGGCUCCCCUUCUCCUCCCGCUACUACAAACUACUUGAGCAGCGCCGAUCCUUGCCUGUCUGGGCUGCUCGCUUUAUCUUCUUGGAGCACUUGGAGAGUAGCCCCAGUGGAGUGGUACUGGUGUCUGGAGAGCCUGGUUGCGGCAAGAGCACCCAGAUCCCACAGUGGUGUGCAGAGUUUGUGCUGGCAAGAGGUUUCCAGAAGAGCUGGGUAACUGUGACUCAGCCUUACCCUCUAGCAGCCCUGAGCUUGGCCCUGCGAGUUGCUGAUGAAAUGGACCUGACCCUGGGUCAUGAGGUUGGAUACAGCAUCCCCCAAGAAGACUGCACUGGGCCUGACACUCUGCUAAGGUUCUGCUGGGACAGGCUGCUUCUGCAGGAGGUGGCCUCAACCCCGGGCAUUGGAGCCCAGGGUGUGCUGGUCCUGGAUGAGGCUCAGGAGCGGUCAGUGGCCUCAGAUUUGCUCCAGGGACUCCUGCGAGAUGCCAGGCUGGGAAGCCGUCCAGGGGACCUCAGAGUGGUUGUAGUUACCGACCCAACCCUUGAACCUAAGCUCCAAGACUUCUGGGGCAAUCCUCCUAUUGUGUGUGUCCCCAGAGAGACUGGCAGCUAUCCCGCUCCGGUCUACAGGGACUCUCUCCCUACUGACCGAGUAGAAGCUGCCUGCCAAGCUGUGCUUGAACUGUGUCGGAAGGAGGCUCCAGGAGAUGUGCUAGUGUACCUGCCCAGUGAGGAGGAAAUUUCUCUGUGCUGUGAGUCCUUGUCCAGGAAGGUAGGGUCCUUGGAAAACCAAGGGCCCCCACCACGGGUGCUGCCCCUUCACCCAGGCUGUGGACAAGCUGUUCAGGCUGUGUACGAGGACACAGAAUCAGGUGCCCGGAAGGUUGUGGUCACUCACUGGCUGGCCGACUUCUCCUUUUCCCUCCCCUCCAUCCGACAUGUCAUUGACUCAGGACUGGAGCUUCGAAGUGUUUACAGUCCUCAGAUCCGAGCAGAAUCUCAAGUGCUGAGACCAGUCAGCAAGUGUCAGGCAGAGGCAAGACGGCUACGGGCAGCAGGGAUCCCACCAGGAUCCUGCCUCUGCUUGUAUCCUAAGUCCUUCCUAGAACGAGAGGCUCCCUGCCUGCCCCAGCCCAGAGUGUGGGCAGAGAAUCUGAGCCCCCUGAUGUUACUACUAAAGAGGAGACAGAUUGCAGAGCCAGGGAAGUGUCACUUCCUGGACCGGCCUGCUCCAGAAGCACUGAUGCAGGCCCUGGAAGACUUAGACUAUCUGGCUGCCCUGGAUGAUGAUGGGGACCUGUCAGACCUGGGAGUUAUCCUAUCAGAAUUUCCCCUGGCCCCUGAGCUGGCCAAAGCACUGCUGGCCUCGUGUGAGUUUGACUGUGUGGAUGAGAUGCUCACCCUGGCCGCCAUGCUCACUGCUGCCCCCGGGUUUACUCGUCCUCCACUCUGUGCAGAAGAAGCUGCCCUGCGUCGAGCGCUAGAACACGUGGAUGGUGAUCACAGCUCUCUGAUCCAAGUGUAUGAAGCCUUUAUACAGAGUGGAGCAGACAAGGCUUGGUGCCAGGCUCGGGGUCUAAACUGGGCAGCAUUGUGCCAGGCCCGUAAACUUCGGGGAGAACUCCUAGAACUCAUGCAACGGAUUGAACUGCCCUUGUCUCAACCAGCCUUUGGAUCUGAGCAGAAUCGCAGAGACCUUCAGAAAGCGCUGGUGUCAGGAUACUUCCUUAAGGUUAGGGGAAAGAGUUGGGGUGGCCCGAGACACAGAUGGAACUGGAAAUUACCUGCUUCUAACCCAUAAGCAUGUGGCCCAGCUCUCCCCAUACUGCUGCUACAGAAGCCGCAGGGCUCCUGCCAGACCCCCACUGUGGGUGCUUUACCACAGUUUCUCCAUUUCCAAAGACAACUGUCUUUCCAUUGUUUCUGAAAUUCAGCCACAGAUGCUGGUGGAAUUGGCUCCUCCAUACUUCCUGAGUAACUUACCCCCUAGUGAGAGCAGAGACUUCCUGAACCAGCUGAGGGAAGAAAGGACAGAUUCUUCAACCAGGAGUGAAUCUUCCUCCACCCAAGAACUUGAAAAUGCCUGUCUCCUGCAGUGACCUGCCUAUGGGGUGAAGUUGAAUUCAUCUCAUCACAUGAGAUCUUCCCUCAGGCUAGCACCUAGGCAGCCAUCCAGAUUUAGAAGCCCAAGGGUCAAAUGUAAAUACUGGAACCUGAGUCCCAAGAAAUGGAGCUGGGAGUGGAGCAAAUUGGUUAAGCCCUAGUCUAUACAGGGUAGGACCGAUUUCUUAGCUUUCUGCUAUUUAUUAAAGAGGAAAUGACAUGCCCUCUAUACCCCCAACUUAUGCCAAACCCAUCCUUUUGGUCUAUAAAAGUUCUGUUUAUAUGAUACCAAA